AUUUCAUUUAAAAUCAAAAUCUCUCCUUCCUCCAGCAGGGUCUUCGGUGAAAAAGGGGGGUGUGGCGGGUUCCUUAUCUAUUUCGCUGUUUUGCGUUGUCAGCUUCCUCCCUUAGCUUGAGAACCAAGGCUUUUGAUUCCUCUAGAAAUGGAGAGUGGAGAUGUGCAUGGGGAAGAAAAGGCCUUAUUUGACUGGUCUCCUUGGAUGAGCUGCCAGUACUCUCUGGGUUCCAUCUCUUCUGGAUGCUUCUCCAGCAGCUUGAACCACAAGACAGAAUGAAUUAGAAGUCCAACUGGAAAUACAGUGGUUUACAGUGUUGUUUGAAUAUAAGGCUUCAUAUACCUCGAGAUCAGGUAUC